CUAGAUCCGAUGAAAAGAAGAGUAUGUAUUAUAUGGUUAGUAGAGAGAUUUUGGUUGGUGUAAAAAAUCCGAGUAUAAUGCAGAAGAUGGUCUUGGAGGACGAGAGUGAUCUUGCGGAAGUUUCCACGUUACGGAAAAUUUGAGGGGAGAUAGUUCCCAAAUUAAGGUGGUACCACGUAUUCAAACGUCCUUUGU
rnacentral:ncRNA from 1 species